AUUGAACGCUGGCGGCAGGCUUAACACAUGCAAGUCGAGCGAGCGGCGGACGGGUGAGUAAUGUCUGGGAAUCUGCCCGAUGGAGGGGGAUAACUACUGGAAACGGUAGCUAAUACCGCAUACAAUCAGAUGUGCCCAGAUGGGAUUAGCUAGUAGGUGGGGUAAUGGCUCACCUAGGCGACGAUCCCUAGCUGGUCUGAGAGGAUGACCGGCCACACUGGAACUGAGACACGGUCCAGACUCCUACGGGAGGAACGAGUGGGGAAUAUUGCACAAUGGGCGCAAGCCUGAUGCAGCCAUGACGCGUGUGUGAAGAAGGCAUUAGGGUUGUAAAGCACUUUCAGCGAGGAGGCGUUACUCGCAGAAGAAGCACCGGCUAACUCCGUGCCAGCAGCCGCGGUAAUUC
rnacentral:rRNA from 1 species